ensembl:lncRNA
UCCCCAAAAUUCCCAAAUCUCCCCCAAAACACCCCAAAAAUUCUCCUUUCCCACCCCAUUUCCCCUUUCCUGCUUCCCCUUUUCCCACCCCAGUUCCCAUUUCCCGUUUUUUCCCGUUGUUCUCGCUGUUGUUUCCGGUUGUUUUUCCGGCUGUUCCCCCCUUUGUUCCUGUUGUUCCCCUUGCCCGUUUGUCCUGCUGUUUUUCCCGUUUUUCCCGUUGUUUUUCCCGUUGUUCCCGCUGUUUUUCCCCGUUUUCCCUGCUCUCAUUCCCCCCCCGCUGUUGUCAUUCCGCCUGUUCUCGUUCCCGUUGUUAUUCCCGCUGUUGUCACUCCCACUGUUCCCGUUAUUCCGGCUGUUGUCAUUCCCAUUGUUGCCAUUCCUGUCAUUCCCGUUGUUCCCGGCUGUUCCCAUUCCCGCCAUUCCCAUCAUUCCCACUGUUCCUGUCAUUCCGCCUGUUGCUGUCAUUCCGGCUGUUCCCGUUAUUCCGGCUGUUCCCAUUAUCCCGGCUGUCAUUCCCGUCACUCAUUCCGGCUGUUCCCGUUCUCUCUGUUCCCAUUCUGGCUGUUCCCAUCAUUCUGGCUGUUCCUGUCAUCCCGGCUGUUCCCGUUCUCUCUGUUCCCAUUCCGGCUGUUCCCAUUCCGGCUGUUCCCGUUCUCUCUGUUCCCAUUCCCACUGUUCCCGUUCUGGCUGUUCCCAUUAUCCCAGCUGUCAUUCCCUUUAUUCCGGCUGUUCCUGUCACUCAUUCUGGCUGUUCCCAUUCCCUCUGUUCCCAUUCCGGCUGCUCCCAUUAUCCCGGCUGUCAUUCCCGUCACUCAUUCCGGCUGUUCCCAUUCCCACUGUUCCCGUUAUCCCGGCUGUCAUUCCCGUUAUCCCGGCUGUCAUUCCCAUCACUCCGGCUGUUCCCAUCAUUCCCAUCACUCUGGCUGUCAUUCCUGUCACCCGUUCCGGCUGUUCCCAUUAUCCCGGCUGUUACUCCCGUCAGUCCGGCUGUCCCCAUCAUUCCUGUCACCCGUUCCUGCUGUCAUUCCCAUUAUCCCGGCUGUUGCCGUCACUCAUUCCGGCUGUUCCCAUCAUUCCCGUCACUCCGGCUGUCAUUCCCAUUAUCCCGGCUGUCACUCCCGUCACCUGUUCUGGCUGUCACUCCCGUCACCCGUUCCGGCUGUCAUUCCCGUUAUCCCAGCUGUCAUUCCCGUCAGUCCAGCUGUCAUUCCCGUCACCCGUUAUUCCGGCUGUCACUCCCGUCACCCGUUCUGGCUGUUCCCAUUAUCCCGGCUGUCAUUCCCGUCACUCCGGCUGUUCCCAUCAUUCCUGUCACUCUGGCUGUUAUUCCCAUCACCCGUUCCGGCUGUCAUUUCCAUUAUCCCGGCUGUUCCCGUUAUCCCGGCUGUUAUUCCCGUCAGUCCAGCUGUUAUUCCCGUCACCCAUUCCGGCUGUCAUUCCCAUUAUCCCGGCUGUCGUUCCCAUUAUCCCGGCUGUCACUCCCGUCACCUGUUCCGGCUGUCAUUCCCAUUAUCCCGGCUGUCCCCAUCAUUCCCAUCACCCGUUCCGGCUGUCAUUCCUGUCACCCGUUAUCCUGGCUGUCCCUCCUGUCACCCGUUAUUCCGGCUGUCCCCAUCACUCCCGUCACCCGUUCCGGCUGUUCCCGUUAUCCCGGCUGUCAUUCCCGUCACCCGUUCCGGCUGUCCCCAUCAUUCCCGUUAUCCCGGCUGUCAUUCCCAUCACCCGUUCCGGCUGUUCCUGUUAUCCCGGCUGUCAUUCCCGUCACCCGUUCCGGCUGUCCCCAUCAUUCCCGUCACCCGUUCCGGCUGUUCCCGUUAUCCCGGCUGUCAUUCCCGUCACCCGUUCCGGCUGUUGUCUCACCCUGGCCUGGAAGCACACCCUGCCCCGGGUGACUCCGUGGGUGCUGCGGGCUCCGGCCCAGAGUCCCGGGAACCUCUCGGA